UCUCCGUUGGUGAACCAGCGGAGGGAUCAUUACAGAGUUUAUCAUAACUCCCAAACCCAUGUGAACAUACCCUACGUUGCCUCGGCAGGUCGCGCACGUCUACCCCGUAGCACUCCUACCCUGUAGGAGCCUACCCGAGACGCUAAACCCGCCGGCAGCCUACUAUACUCUGUCUCUUUGCGUCGACAUCUCGAGUACAAUCAAACAAGUUAAAACUUUCAACAACGGAUCUCUUGGUUCUG
rnacentral:misc_RNA from 1 species